AGAGUUUGAUCCUGGCUCAGGAUGAACGCUGGCGGCGUGCCUAACACAUGCAAGUCGAGCGAUUACUUCGGUAAAGAGCGGCGGACGGGUGAGUAACGCGUGGGUAACCUGCCUCAUACACAUGGAUAACAUACCGAAAGGUAUGCUAAUACAGGAUAAUAUAAGAGAUUCACAUGGAUUUCUUAUCAAAGCUCCGGCGGUAUGAGAUGGACCCGCGUCUGAUUAGCUAGUUGGUAAGGUAAUGGCUUACCAAGGCGACGAUCAGUAGCCGACCUGAGAGGGUGAUCGGCCACAUUGGAACUGAGACACGGUCCAAACUCCUACGGGAGGCAGCAGUGGGGAAUAUUGCACAAUGGGCGAAAGCCUGAUGCCAGCAACGCCGCGUGAGUGAUGAAGGCCUUCGGGUCGUAAAACUCUGUCCUCAAGGAAGAUAAUGACGGUACUUGAGGAGGAAGCCCCGGCUAACUACGUGCCAGCCGCAGC
rnacentral:rRNA from 1 species